AGAGUUUGAUCAUGGCUCAGAUUGAACGCUGGCGGCAGGCCUAACACAUGCAAGUCGAACGGUAACAGGAAACAGCUUGCUGUUUCGCUGACGAGUGGCGGACGGGUGAGUAAUGUCUGGGAAACUGCCUGAUGGAGGGGGAUAACUACUGGAAACGGUAGCUAAUACCGCAUAACGUCGCAAGACCAAAGAGGGGGACCCUCGGGCCUCUUGCCAUCGGAUGUGCCCAGAUGGGAUUAGCUUGUUGGUGGGGUAACGGCUCACCAAGGCGACGAUCCCUAGCUGGUCUGAGAGGAUGACCAGCCACACUGGAACUGAGACACGGUCCAGACUCCUACGGGAGGCAGCAGUGGGGAAUAUUGCACAAUGGGCGCAAGCCUGAUGCAGCCAUGCCGCGUGUAUGAAGAAGGCCUUCGGGUUGUAAAGUACUUUCAGCGGGGAGGAAGGGAGUAAAGUUAAUACCUUUGCUCAUUGACGUUACCCGCAGAAGAAGCACCGGCUAACUCCGUGCCAGCAGCCGCGGUAAUACGGAGGGUGCAAGCGUUAAUCGGAAUUACUGGGCGUAAAGCGCACGCAGGCGGUUUGUUAAGUCAGAUGUGAAAUCCCCGGGCUCAACCUGGGAACUGCAUCUGAUACUGGCAAGCUUGAGUCUCGUAGAGGGGGGUAGAAUUCCAGGUGUAGCGGAGAAAUGCGUAGAGAUCUGGAGGAAUACCGGUGGCGAAGGCGGCCCCCUGGACGAAGACUGACGCUCAGGUGCGAAAGCGUGGGGAGCAAACAGGAUUAGAUACCCUGGUAGUCCACGCCGUAAACGAUGUCGACUUGGAGGUUGUGCCCUUGAGGCGUGGCUUCCGGAGCUAACGCGUUAAGUCGACCGCCUGGGGAGUACGGCCGCAAGGUUAAAACUCAAAUGAAUUGACGGGGGCCCGCACAAGCGGUGGAGCAUGUGGUUUAAUUCGAUGCAACGCGAAGAACCUUACCUGGUCUUGACAUCCACGGAAGUUUUCAGAGAUGAGAAUGUGCCUUCGGGAACCGUGAGACAGGUGCUGCAUGGCUGUCGUCAGCUCGUGUUGUGAAAUGUUGGGUUUAGUCCCGCAACGAGCGCAACCCUUAUCCUUUGUUGCCAGCGGUCCGGCCGGGAACUCAAAGGAGACUGCCAGUGAUAAACUGGAGGAAGGUGGGGAUGACGCCAAGUCAUCAUGGCCCUUACGACCAGGGCUACACACGUGCUACAAUGGCGCAUACAAAGAGAAGCGACCUCGCGAGAGCAAGCGGACCUCAUAAAGUGCGUCGUAGUCCGGAUUGGAGUCUGCAACUCGACUCCAUGAAGUCGGAAUCGCUAGUAAUCGUGGAUCAGAAUGCCACGGUGAAUACGUUCCCGGCCCUGUACACACCGCCCGUCACACCAUGGGAGUGGGUUGCAAAAGAAGUAGGUAGCUUAACCUUCGGGAGGGCGCUUACCACUUUGUGAUUCAUGACUGGGGUGAAGUCGGAACAAGGUA
rnacentral:rRNA from 1 species